UACGUAGGGGGCAAGCGUUGUCCGGAUUUAUUGGGCGUAAAGAGCUCGUAGGCGGUGUGUCACGUCGGCCGUGAAAACCCGCAGCUUAACUGUGGGCGUGCGGUCGAUACGGGCAUCACUGGAGUUCGGCAGGGGAGACUGGAAUUCCUGGUGUAGCGGUGAAAUGCGCAGAUAUCAGGAGGAACACCGGUGGCGAAGGCGGGUCUCUGGGCCGAUACUGACGCUGAGGCGCGAAAGCGUGGGUAGCAAACAGG
rnacentral:rRNA from 1 species